rnacentral:lncRNA from 1 species
AAUCAGUCCAUCGAUGGCAUCAGACGUUCUUGCUUGAUGGGAGGGAGCCAAGGCCUCUACAGAGAAGUCACUGCCCAGUUCUUCUCAUCAAACUACGCAUGUGAAAAGGCCUGAUCCUGCGAGCACCAGCUGGCACAGUUGUGCAACCCCUUCUCUCGUGCCCAACGUGCAUGUGCUCAUGCCAAAGCAACCACCAGCCCUGGCCCCAGCGGAGCGCUCUCGUUCCUCCUUGCUGCAGGGCAGUGCUCCCAGACGUGUGCAAAGAAGGGAUGACAAUUUGCUGGCCUGGAAGGGGACCAAGCGCGUGUCUCCUGGUGGCCACUGAGGACUUGUGCUACCAGCAAGCAUUGCUAGGAGGUGCAAAUCCAAGGAAUCAAACAGGAAAUCUACUCCUAGAACUUCACUUUCGAGGAAAGUCCAGAAAUUGGAAGAGUGAGCAGAUCCGUGAGUCGGUAUUGCUGGGGCCUGGGCACUUGGUGUCAAAGGGAACGGGAAAUGAAUGUCGGGGUGUGGGACAGUGUAUCCAAGAAAACAGCCAUGAGUGGUUGUUAGAAGAGAGAAGAAGGAAAGCAGCAAGUGUUUUCUUCUCUUGACUGGAGUUUGCAUCAGUGCUGUAUUCCCAAGGAGACUGGGAGGCUGGGCGAACCCUCCAAGAGAUCAAACAGCAAUGUCUGCUUUAGUGUUUUUUUUACUCCCAAAUUCUUUUUAUUAGAAACUCACUUAAAAUAACCAAAUAAAGCAUUUCAGUUUAUUCA